rnacentral:rRNA from 1 species
CUCAUCAGGACAAGAAGAUUUUAGGAUUGACAGAUUGAGAGUUCUUUCUUGAUUGGUCUAGUGGUGGUGCAUGGCCGUUCUUAGUUGGUGGAGUGAUUUGUCUGGUUAAUUCCGUUAACGAACGAGACCUUAACCUGCUAACUAGUGUUCCGAUCUCAAAUCGGAAGCACUUCUUAGAGGGACUAUGUGAUGUAAUCACAUGGAAGUUUGAGGCAAUAACAGGUCUGUGAUGCCCUUAGAUGUCCUGAGCUGCACGCGUACUACAAUGGCACUUUCAACGAAUUUUUCCUGAUCCGAAAGGAUUUGGGUAAUCUUUUUAGUGAGUGCCGUGAUUGGGAUAGAUCUUUGUAAUUGUGGAUCUUGAACUAGGAAUUCCUAGUAAGCGCGAUUCAUCAAAUCGUGCUGAUUACGUCCCUGCAAAAUGUACACACCGCCCGUCGCUUUUACCGAUUGAGUGUUCAGGUGAGUCUUCUUGAUAGUUGCAAAAUUAGAAAUUAAACAAACCUUAGCACUUAGAGGAAAAAGAAGUCGUAACAAGGCUUCCGUAGGUGAACCUGCGGAAGGAUCA